GGUGAACGCUGGCGGCGUGCUUAAGGCGUGCAAGUCGAACGGCAGUCUUCGGACUGUAGUGGCGCACGGGUGAGUAACGCGUAACUGACCUACCCCAAAGUCGCGGAUAACGAUUCGAAAGAAUCGCUAAUACGUGAUGUGCUGUCAGAUUGUGUUCUGCCAGUAAAGAUUGAUUGCUUUGGGAUGGGGUUGCGUUCCAUCAGCUAGUUGGUGGGGUAAAGGCCCACCAAGGCGACGACGGAUAGCCGGCCUGAGAGGGUGGCCGGCCACAGGGGCACUGAGACACGGGUCCCACUCCUACGGGAGGCAGCAGUUAGGAAUCUUCCACAAUGGGCGAAAGCCUGAUGGAGCGACGCCGCGUGAGGGAUGAAGGUCUUCGGAUCGUAAACCUCUGAAUCAGGGACGAAAGACACUUCGGUGGGAUGACGGUACCUGAGUAGUAGCACCGGCUAACUCCGUGCCAGCCGCCGCCGUAACAC
rnacentral:rRNA from 1 species